AGAGUUUGAUCCUGGCUCAGAAUCAACGCUGGCGGCGCGCCUAACACAUGCAAGUCGAACGGGGUAGCAAUACCCAGUGGCAGACGGGUGAGUAACACGUGGUCAACCUACCUUCGCGUGGGGGAUAACUAGCCGAAAGGUUAGCUAAUACCGCAUACGAUCGCUUUGAGGCAUCUCGAGGCGAUGAAAGGAGCAAUCCGCACGAAGAGGGGACUGCGUCCCAUUAGUUAGUUGGUGGGGUAACGGCCUACCAAGACUCCGAUGGGUAGCUGGCUUGAGAGAGCGACCAGCCACACUGGAACUGAGACACGGUCCAGACUCCUACGGGAGGCAGCAGUGAGGAAUUUUCCGCAAUGGGCGAAAGCCUGACGGAGCGACGCCGCGUGUGGGAAGAAGGCCUUCGGGUCGUAAA
rnacentral:rRNA from 1 species